UACAGAGGUCUCAAGCGUUGUUCGGAUUCAUUGGGCGUAAAGGGUGUGUAGGUGGCGCGCUAAGUCGGGUGUGAAAUUUCGGAGCUUAACUCCGAAACUGCAUUCGAUACUGGCGUGCUUGAGGACUGGAGAGGAGACUGGGAUUCAUGGUGUAGCAGUGAAAUGCGUAGAGAUCAUGAGGAAGACCAGUGGCGAAGGCGGGUCUCUGGACAGUUACUGACACUGAGACACGAAGGCCAGGGGAGCAAACGGG
rnacentral:rRNA from 1 species